rnacentral:rRNA from 1 species
GAGACCUGUACUUACAAUUGCCAUCAGCUAAUUCAUUAGGACUGGGCACGUUGUAGGGACUGCCUUGGAAACAAGGAGGAAGGUGCAGGCAACGGUAGGUCUGUAUGCCCCGAAUCCCCUGGGCUACACGCGCGCAACAAUGGUACAGACAAUGGGACGCAACUCCGAAAGGAGAAGCUAAUCCUCUAAACUGUAUCGUAGUCCAGAUUGAGGACUGUAACUCGUCCUCAUGACGUCGGAAUCCCUAGUAAUCGGAUGUUAGCAUCGUCCGGUGAAUAU